rnacentral:rRNA from 1 species
CGGACAGAUGGGAGCUUGCUCCCUGAUGUUAGCGGCGGACGGGUGAGUAACACGUGGGUAACCUGCCUGUAAGACUGGGAUAACUCCGGGAAACCGGGGCUAAUACCGGAUGGUUGUUUGAACCGCAUGGUUCAAACAUAAAAGGUGGCUUCGGCUACCACUUACAGAUGGACCCGCGGCGCAUUAGCUAGUUGGUGAGGUAACGGCUCACCAAGGCAACGAUGCGUAGCCGACCUGAGAGGGUGAUCGGCCACACUGGGACUGAGACACGGCCCAGACUCCUACGGGAGGCAGCAGUAGGGAAUCUUCCGCAAUGGACGAAAGUCUGACGGAGCAACGCCGCGUGAGUGAUGAAGGUUUUCGGAUCGUAAAGCUCUGUUGUUAGGGAAGAACAAGUACCGUUCGAAUAGGGCGGUACCUUGACGGUACCUAACCAGAAAGCCACGGCUAACUACGUGCCAGCAGCCGCGGUAAUACGUAGGUGGCAAGCGUUGUCCGGAAUUAUUGGGCGUAAAGGGCUCGCAGGCGGUUUCUUAAGUCUGAUGUGAAAGCCCCCGGCUCAACCGGGGAGGGUCAUUGGAAACUGGGGAACUUGAGUGCAGAAGAGGAGAGUGGAAUUCCACGUGUAGCGGUGAAAUGCGUAGAGAUGUGGAGGAACACCAGUGGCGAAGGCGACUCUCUGGUCUGUAACUGACGCUGAGGAGCGAAAGCGUGGGGAGCGAACAGGAUUAGAUACCCUGGUAGUCCACGCCCGUAAACGAUGAGUGCUAAGUGUUAGGGGUUUCCGCCCCU